rnacentral:rRNA from 1 species
AGUGAACGCUGGCGGCGUGCUUAACACAUGCAAGUCGAACGAGAACGGAUUAUAGCUUGCUAUAAUUGUCAGCUAAGUGGCGCACGGGUGAGUAAUGUAUAGGUAAUAUGCCUCUUACUAAGGGAUAACAAAUGGAAACGUUUGCUAAUACCUUAUACUCCUUAUUAACAGAAGUUAAUAAGGGAAAGAUUUAUUGGUAAGAGAUUAGCCUGUAUUGUAUCAGUUAGUUGGUGGGGUAAUGGCUUACCAAGACUAUGACACAUAACUGGUUUGAGAGGAUGAUCAGUCACACUGGAACUGAGACACGGUCCAGACUCCUACGGGAGGCAGCAGUGGGGAAUAUUGCACAAUGGACGAAGGUCUGAUGCAGCAACGCCGCGUGGAGGAUGACACAUUUCGGUGCGUAAACUCCUUUUAUAUGAGAAGAUAAUGACGGUAUUAUAUGAACAAGCACCGGCUAACUCCGUGCCAGCAGCCGCGGUAAAAC